UAGAGACAUUUCCUCGAUUCUUGCUGAUGUUGCCAGACCAUUUCCCCUCUGUCUUCCAUAAAAAUAAUGAGCUUUGAGUCUUAUACCACUAGGCUAUAUCAACCACUGAUCUCAUUACAUUCGUCACUGCCACCCUGAGCCUUCCUCUGAUUUCUUAAAGAAUUACACUCUGACUCACCAUCAUUCUCUCGCACUAUUCCUAUCAUAAUUUUCAGUGAUUUCAUAAAUGUGUGGACUUUCCUUCCAAUAACUUGGUCUCUAAGCUCCUUGACUUUAUACCAAUGACCUUGCCCUCCAUAGCAUUUUAGCCAUUCACUACUCAUGGUCACACCAUAAACUUUGUCAUCACCAAUAAAUAGAACCUUUCUAUGAUCUCGGUUUAUCUGUUCCUCUCUCUGACUACCUGCUUUUCUCUUUCCACCUAACUUGAACAAUCUUAUGAUCCCUGAUUGACCUACUGAUUAUAUGAACAUUUCUUGGACCUCUAAUACCUUGUGUCUUUAUUUUUCUCCUUAUACAGCUAAAAAUUAAUAUUCAAUCAUUAUAAUUACUUCCCUUACAUGCCCCCAUUUGCUUGCUUAAUUUAGAAAAAAAAAAGAACCUUGAUUAAAGCCAGCUUUCAAUCUAUUCUGUGCCUGCAGUUCUGCAGCUAAAUAUGGCUAGAAUAAAACACGGAGCUGUUUAAAUUGACUAAUUUCAUGUUAGAUUUAUAUUCAUCAAUCUCAAGUGAAUUCACUCACCCUUACACUCUCUGAGAUGAAUAUUUCCUAGUCUCCUCUCUCUCCUCAGAACAAUACCUCCUUUUUUUCAAAAGAUGGCAUUAAUUCCAAUUUUAAUGAGUAGAUGCAAUCACAGGAAUCACAGGAAUCACUUCAUCAGUUCCCACAACCACAUCCACACAUCAGUGAACAGCAGUGCUCUGUACUCUGUCUUCUCUCUGUUUCAGUGGGUGAAAUGUUAGUAGAUAAGAACACCUUCUCUACUUGUGUGCCUGAAACCUACCCCUUACACUGAAAGCUGUUUUUUUUUUAGCAGUGCUAUACUCUUGACUUUGCAUCAUUAGUUUUUCCUAUUCUAUUGUAUAAUUAUGACUUGCAACAUGUUAUUUCUACCAUUAAAAAGGACAAUAGCAACAACAAAAAAACCCACUCUCUCAUGACCAAAUUGUCCCUUUAGCUACCGACUUAUGUCUUUCCUUCCCUUAACAACGCAUUUCUAAGAAAUAAUCUGUGCUUACUGCCUCCAAUUUCUCUCUCUUGAACCCACUACAUCAGGUGUUAACCAAAAGUUAGCUCAACCAAAACUGUUCUUGUUAAAAUCACUGUUGCUAAAUCCAGUGAUCACUUUUCAGCCUUUAUUUUAUUUGAACUAUCAGCCAAGUUACUCCAUCAUUCUUCAUGUACUUCAGGAUAAACAUUAUCCUGGUUAUCUUCCUACCUCACUGCCAUUCCUUCUGCAUUUCCUUUCCUGGUUUCUUGUUAUAUCCACUAAAACCUUUAAUACCCCAGAUUUCAUUCCCUGUACACUUGCUCUUCUCUCACUGCAUGUACUCCUUUGAUGAUAUCAUUCAGUUUUACAAUCACAGAUGUCUGAUCGCAACUUUGUAUCUGUAGCCAAGAUCUCUCCCCUAUAUUCCAAAUACACAUAUUCAAGGGUUUAUUUGGCUGUCUAAAAGGCUAUCAAAGAACACAAAUACAAAGUUGAACUCCUCCUAUCUCCUCCCAUUUUUAAAUAUUCUCUUCACACAAUCUUGCCCAUGUUAGUUAAUGGCAGUUUUAUCCUUUUAGGUGUUCACAACAAAAUCUUAGACCCCUUGCUAUAUUUUCUCUAUCUCAAGUAUGCUCUACACAGAUCUUUCAUUAAAACAUUUCAGUUCAACCUCAAGAAUAUAUCCAAUAUCUAACAGUGAAGCCAGAACAUACCAGUUUCUUUUUUCUUUCUUUUUAUGGCCUCACCUGCAGUAUAUGGAAGUUCCCAGGCUAAGGGUCAAAUCAUAACUGAAGCUGCCAGCCUAAGCCACGCCCAAAGCAACACUGGAUCUGAGCUGCAUCCAUGACUUAUACCACAGCUUGCAACAAUUCUAGUUCCUUAAUCCACUGAGGGAGGCCAGGGAUUGAACUCACAUUCUCAUGGAUGCUAUGUCACUUUCUUAACCUGCUAAGCCACGAUGGGAGCUCCAAUAACAUACUGGUUCUGUCAUUGUCAUCCUGAACUGAGAUGUCAUCAUUUCUCAUCUGAGUUAUUUCAGGAGGCUCCUAAUACUUCUCCCUCCUCUGCAUUUAUUCUUAUAGUAUGUAUGCGAGGUUAAAUGAUAUUUCUCACUUACAUACUACUAAUCAAUGUCCAGAUCUGUGCCUAGAACAUUGGUGUUUAAUCAGUAUUUGUUGAAUAAAUGACCUGAAGCUAAGAGCAGUCCAGUAAUCACCCAAACUCUGUGAAUUCAAAAUUCUCUCCCGAGGUUCACAACCAUGUUACAUGACAGAUGUCUUGAAUAUUUACUCAAAUUUUUUUUUUCUUUUUAAGGCUGCACCUGUGGCAUAUGGAAGUUCCCAGACCAGGGCUGAAUUAAAACUGCAGCUGCUGGCCUACGCCAUGGCCAAAGCGAUGCCAGAUCCAAGCUGUGUUUGCAACCUACACCGCAAGUCAUGGCAAUGCUGGAUCCUUAACCUACUGAGCAAGGCCAUGGGUCAAACUCACAUCCUUAUGGAAACUAGUCAGGUUCUUAGCCCGCUAAACCAAAACAGGAACUCCUCAAAUAUUUUUAUAAAUCAAACCUUUUAAAAAAGUGCAUUCUUCAUUUUUGAAAAGCAACGUAAUUUAUAUCUAAAGAUACACAUAUACAUAUAACCACCAAAUUAGAAUAGUGUAGGCCACCCUCCAAUCCCAAAACCUAUCUCCAAAAACCUGGAAAAGAAAUGUUUCAUGCACAACAGGUUGUAUCAGAUGCUUUAAAGUGUUUGACAGCAAAUAUGGAGACUCAGAGUCAGAUGUAAUGGGAGUAUUCCAUGCGUGUAGUAAUUCAUAGAUCUUUCACUUCUAGUACUUUACAUGUUUGUAAACCUUAGAGACCUUCUAUGAUUAAAGAAAUACAUGUCUUUCCCAUUUUCAAUCUACAUAAAAAUCAUCCUAUGGAUCUUGUCAUUUAAUGAGAUAGACUAAUUGCAGAUACCUUCCUAUUUUCCUAAAACAAUGAAAAAUUAAAACAUUCAAUAGAUUUAGUGCAUCAUUUAACUACUUUCCAUCAUCAUAAAAUAUAUUCAUUAAGCACCCAUUUGUGUAUAAUGUGCUUGUCAUAUAUUAUGCUACCAGAUUGGUUUCAAUAUAAAUAUCAAAUCUAUCACAUAAAAAAUAAUUCUGGGAUGUAACUUCAGGAACUUUUGAGACUGUGCCUAUCUUUUGAAGAUUUGUAUGGCUCAGAUAAAUUCAAGGUUAUGUCAUCAGCAAAUGAUUAUGGGUAUCAAAGUGAUAAUGUUCUGUUUUCAGAGUUGUCAGUUACCAUGUGCAUGGAAUAUUAUAACUAAUCCUUAAUGAAUAUUUCAGUUGGACCAGUUGGAAAUCCUACUGCUUUUCUGGUGUUUACCCGUCCAUACAUAUAUUUGAGAAAAGUAUUUUGCCCUCAAGUAAAGUGACAGGUUCAAUUGUUUUAAGAAUUUUUGUAUACUAUAUAAUUAUUUUUCUGAUCACCUUAUGGAAUUAUUGUUCCACACAGUUUUUGUUUACUUUACUAUUUUUUUAAUUAUAAGGGAAAAGUACUCAAAAGAGACAAUAGCAAAAUAAUUGGGAAGUGGCAGAUAGAUUCUUGGUAAUUGCUUUAUUGUUUAGAAAUAAUGCAUCUAAGUUGUGAAUAAGGAAAUCCUGGAAGGCAUGCCCAGGAAUAGGCUGAUUCAUGCUACAUAACAUCAUAAAAGUGCAAUAAAUAGAUGUACCAGUCACAGCUAAAAGGUAAGGUUUAUACACAUGGGUAUGCAAGAUCAGCUGGGAGGUUUUUGUUUUUAAGUAGAUUUUCAGAAGCAGAAUAAUGAUCUUCCACUUUACAUUGCCUGUACAUACCUUUUCUGUCUCCUACUAUAAAUGGAGGUGUACUCCUAAGACAACUUACUAUAGAUGCACUGUUCUUAAGGGUCAGGCAUGAUCAAGGGCCAGCAUAUUCACAUGAAAUCAGAAUCUCUUUGGGGGUAAUAAAAAUGUUCUGGGACUAGAUAUAUAGUGGUGAUGGUUGCACAAUUUUUUUUUAAUAGAAUAAAUACCAUUGAAUUGAACAUUCUAGGAAGGUAAAUGUGGACAUGAACUAUAUCUAAAUAAAAUAAUAGCAUCAGUGUUCUAAAAACAAUACUUGAGGCUAGAUAGGUUAUUGCCUUCAAAAUAGUAGACAAUGAUAGCAUUCUACAAUUUAAAUAGCUAUCCAAAGUGUCAAUCAGGUAAGAAGGUAGAAUACAUAUUUUUCCAGACAUAGCCCUAAAAAGACUCACUUGAUUCCUUUCUUCUGCAAAUAUAUUUUUAAAGAAUGUUAACCAAAACCAUGGGAUAUAUUAAAAAAAAGAGGAAGACAUAUAAACUAGUACACAGAAUAUUGGAAAAGAUUUAAAAAAAAAAGAAUUUCUAGGAUGAUGACAAGAAUCUCAAAUCUUAAAUCAAUGACGGAGUGUCAGGUGUAGGGGGAUUUAGUACAGACCAGAGUAGGAGAAUGUAGUGCUCUAAAGUGCUAUGUACAAGAAAAAAAGGAAUGGGAAAAAAGGUUUCUUGAUUUGUCUGAAUAUGUUAAAAAGAAAUUUAAAACUUACGGCAGAGAAUUUGUGAGUGAAUUGUUAUAAUUACAUAGAAAACCAAACAGACUUAAAAUAUGCCAAUUAUUAACUCUGGAGAAGAAACAAAAUAUACAGCAAUGAUAGUACAUAACCCAUCCAUGAAUUGCUUUUUUUUUUUUCACUAGUUUCAAUAUUUUAAACACUGAAUGUGAGAAUAGAGAAGGGAAACUGUUUAUAUGUAUGUAUCAGUGACCUAAACCCUAAUCUGUCAUAGUAGGAUACACAUAGAUUUAAAUUAAAAAAAUCAAGGAAUAGUCAUGGGAGUGUCAUCAUGGUGCAGCGGAAAUGAAUCUGACUAGGAACCAUGCAGUUGUGGGUUUGAUCCCUGGCCUCACUCAGUGGGUUAAGGAUCUGAUGUUACUGUGAGCUGUGGUAUAGAUUGCAGACACAGCUCAGAUCCCACAUUGCUGUAGCUGUGGUGUAGGCUGGCAGCUGUAGCUCUGAUUCGACCCCUAGCCUGGGAACCUCCAUGUGACAUGGGUAUGGCCCUAAAAAACAAAAGAAAAAACAAACAAACAACAAAAAGAAAUAGAUAUGCAUGCAUGAUAUUUAGAAAUAUGGAGGUAAAACCAUUUACAGAAUUUAAAGAGGACUGUAAUGUAAGGAUGGAGGGAGUAGGAUGAAGCAGUGCAUAGCUGUUUUACAUUAAAAGCCCUACAAUUUGAGUAGUAUACAUAUAUUAAUUGGUUAAAAGUAAAUAUUGCAUUAAUAUUAAAAUGAUAGAAAACACCUAGCCAUCAUUGGGUAGCAAGAUACAAAGCCAGACUACUGGAAGGAGUGAUGAAAAUAUUAGUGUAGUGGAAUGUGAAGCACACCUCCUCGCAAAUACAUCAAUGAUACAUCCACACGUGGGAUGAUUCUUACUGAAUACCUACUGAACACUGGCAGAAGACCUCAGACUUCUGAAGGGGGAAGAAAACCUCCAUGUAAGUGGAUAG
rnacentral:lncRNA from 1 species